CAGGCUACCCCGCAGGGAGACAAUCAGUGGUGACCUUGAAGAUACAGAGCUGCUGUGAGCCUGGGUCUCUGAAUUAUUACAUGGAUGAGAGUGUCCUGCCAAUACAUUCGCCUUUCCAGUAAUGUGUUAUUAAUCAUCGUUCCUCAUUUCCUUUCACUGCUGGGAUUUGACAAGGAUUUUAUUUCACCUUGAAAAACUGCACAUAGUGGAGAGUUUCUUCACUUUAUUCCUGCAGUCUUAACAUACCCUACUGAGUAAAGUAGACUCCAUAUCCAGCAUGGAGUCCAGUGUGGGACUUGGACUCACGACCCUAAGCUCAAGACCUACGCUGAAACCAAGAGUCAGAUGCCUAACCAACUGAGCAACGCAGUUUCCCCAGCAGCAGGGUUUAGAGCUGCCUUAGGACCAGGGGUCUCUCCCUCCCCAGGAAGCUACAGAACAUGCGUAAAAGCAGCAGCCAGAGGAAAGCAUGAGGAUUUGGUGGCCAAAUAGAUCCAUCUUUGAAUUCUACUUUUACUUGGGUCAGUGUUCUAUUGUUCUGUGUCCUCUACAUUUGCACAUGCACAGAGAGUAUAGUGUUUAGAGAAGCAUGGUAGGGACAAUUUAAAGGCCUUUCUACCAGGCGUGAAAAGAUGCUUGCUCCAGCUACUCUUGGCUCCUUCGCAUUUAUAUUGACGUCCUCACCAUCCCCACAAGUGGGCAUUUGUACCCUGGGCAGAGCUGGAACAAGGCCAUUGCUACUGCAAAUUCCUCCCUGAACAGACUUUGGUCAGACUGUACUGGAGAAUUUAUAAUGGGAAGGUUGUUCGUCUUUCAUUCAUCGUUGAGAUCCAGAAAGACCCACCUGGCUACAUUCAGGUUUGGCCACAUCUCUGAGGACAGAGUCUGUCUAUUCCGACACAUAAAAUGAAGUCAGAAAGACUACUGACAUGACUUACAAAGGAGAUGCCCUGAAACUGGUGCUGGAAACUUGGUCCCUCAUCCAUCAAAAGCAAUAAAGGGAUUCAAGAUGGAGAGGCUGGGCAGUGGGAGAUAGAUUCUUCAGAGCUGCUGUGCUCUGUGUCCUUCAUGUUCCCCAAGAAACACAGAGAGAGAGGCAGUGACAUAGGCAGAGGGAGAAGGCUCUGCCUUCUUGUGGG